rnacentral:rRNA from 1 species
GACGAACGCUGGCGGCGUGCUUAACACAUGCAAGUCGAACGGAAAGGCCCUGCUUUUGUGGGGUGCUCGAGUGGCGAACGGGUGAGUAACACGUGAGUAACCUGCCCUUGACUUUGGGAUAACUUCAGGAAACUGGGGCUAAUACCGGAUAGGAGCUCCUGCUGCAUGGUGGGGGUUGGAAAGUUUCGGCGGUUGGGGAUGGACUCGCGGCUUAUCAGCUUGUUGGUGGGGUAGUGGCUUACCAAGGCUUUGACGGGUAGCCGGCCUGAGAGGGUGACCGGCCACAUUGGGACUGAGAUACGGCCCAGACUCCUACGGGAGGCAGCAGUGGGGAAUAUUGCACAAUGGGCGGAAGCCUGAUGCAGCAACGCCGCGUGCGGGAUGACGGCCUUCGGGUUGUAAACCGCUUUCGCCUGUGACGAAGCGUGAGUGACGGUAAUGGGUGAAGAAGCGCCGGCUAACUACGUG